GAGUUUGAUCCUGGCUCAGGACGAACGCUGGCGGCGUGCCUAACACAUGCAAGUCGAACGGAGAUUUCAGCAAUGAAGUCUUAGUGGCGAACGGGUGAGUAACGCGUAGACAAUCUACCUUCUAGAUGGGGACAACACUGCGAAAGUGGUGCUAAUACCGAAUGUUGUAUUUUGGUUGCAUAACUAAGAUACUAAAGAUGGCCUCUUGAUAUGCUAUCGCUAGGUGAUGGGUCUGCGUCUGAUUAGCUAGUUGGUGAGGUAAUGGCUCACCAAGGCGACGAUCAGUAGCCGGUCUGAGAGGAUGAACGGCCACACUGGGACUGAGACAC
rnacentral:rRNA from 1 species